rnacentral:rRNA from 1 species
UACAGAGGUCUCAAGCGUUGUUCGGAUUCAUUGGGCGUAAAGGGUGCGUAGGUGGCGCUGUAAGUCGGGUGUGAAAUUUCGGAGCUUAACUCCGAAACUGCACUUGAUACUGCCUUGCUCGAGUACUGGAGAGGAGAUUGGAAUUUACGGUGUAGCAGUGGAAUGCGUAGAUAUCGUAAGGAAGACCAGUGGCGAAGGCGAAUCUCUGGACAGUUACUGACACUGAGGCACGAAGGCCAGGGGAGCAAACAGG